GGAGUUAGCCGGUGCUUCUUCUGCGAGUAACGUCACAGAUGUAAGGUAUUAACUUACACCCUUUCCUCCUCGCUGAAAGUGCUUUACAACCCGAAGGCCUUCUUCACACACGCGGCAUGGCUGCAUCAGGGUUUCCCCCAUUGUGCAAUAUUCCCCACUGCUGCCUCCCGUAGGAGUCUGGGCCGUGUCUCAGUCCCAGUGUGGCUGAUCAUCCUCUCAGACCAGCUAGGGAUCGUCGCCUAGGUGAGCCUUUACCUCACCUACUAGCUAAUCCCACCUGGGCUUAUCCAUCAGCGCAAGGCCCGAAGGUCCCCUGCUUUCCCCCGUAGGGCGUAUGCGGUAUUAGCAGUCGUUUCCAACUGUUAUCCCCCACAAAUGGGCAAAUUCCCAGGCAUUACUCACCCGUCCGCCGCUCGUCACUCUACUAACGAACACGACUUAGUUAAUAGUUACGUACUCGUACUACGUCAUGUGUUAGGUCGUCGCGCCGACGCGUCGUACUACUGAGACACUAACUACAACUACUCGUACUACGUAGCGGGCGGUCGGCGACGGACGGCGACUAG
rnacentral:rRNA from 1 species